rnacentral:rRNA from 1 species
ACAUGCCUACAACAUAGCGUUAAUGCAUCAAAUCUCAUUAUAACUUCGUAGUUAAGCGCGCUCGAGCUAGAGUAGUACUGGGAUGGGUGAUCGCCCAGGAAGUCCUAGUAUUUUACAUGCC